rnacentral:lncRNA from 1 species
UUUUUGGCUCACAAGGGCAUUUUCAUCAUUUUUCUUCGAAAAUACCGAAACUCGCCAAAAACAUGGUGUAAAAGCUAAAUAUAUUCAUACAUACUUUAAAUCAAAUAACUGAAGAAUAAAAUUACUUUUACAGUGACACGUGGGCCCCCAACUGACUAAGAAGAUGUAGGGCUACGAACCCUUACUUUCUAAGAUGCAACUCCGAGAUUAAUUCUUGUCUUAAUCAACUAUCAACAAAUUGUCCUGAGCCUGAAAAAUAGAUAGGAAGAGGGGUGAGAUUAUGAUUACAUAAUCCCAGUGAAUAAACAAUUACCAUCAAAAGCAUCUAAAGCCGAAUAGAUGGAGACAAUAUAAAAACGUUAUAUCUCAAUAAUGUUCAUAACACAAAAUAAGUUUCAAUCUAUACCAAAUAAUUUCUUUUCAUCAAAAUUUCCCGGCUUAUGAAUUUCUUAAACUUGGCCCCUACCAGAAUCAUUCUCGCGGGUACCUUCGUUAAGGUAUCCCACUGAGACCGUUAAGGCUGUUCAAUGACCCAUACCCAUAAACAUGUUUUCAUAUCUAACACACAGCCGUUUCUUGGCGUUGGCUGAGUCUCACUCUCACGUGGUGGCCCGAACGUGAGGUGCACUCAAAUCAUAACUCAGGAGAUACUUCACUCAACAUCUCCCCACUGAGGUAAAUAUAUAAUUGAGUUACCGUGCUCCUCUCAUAAGCAGUCCACAGAAACCCCCACCACAACAUAGACCGUUUAACAUACCACCAGACCCAUAAAAUUUUCAGUAGCAUAAUAUGGCGAAUAAAAUUUAAUCCAGUCUAUCGAGACCAAUCCAAAACUGUUCAUAUAUUUCAUGCCAACUCCAAAAAUUUAGCCAUCAUGCUACCAUAGUGUCAUAAGCCACAAUUUCAAUAACAUAUAAAAUCAUAAAUUUCAACACAGUCUCCAUAUACUCAAUUUUCCCAAAACAAUAUUAGAUUUCAAAACCAGUAUAAAUCUCAUUUUUAUUAAAAAACAUUUUAAUUGGAAAACAUAAUAUUUUAUAAUUUAAAUUCACCAUUCAAUAAAAGCAUCAAACAAGUAUAAUUACUCUAGAUAUUUAAGACGAUAAAUUGUCCACUCACAGUUCUAGGAGUCGAUGUACUCCUAAUCCCAGUCUUCAAGCACAAUUUCUGUACUUUUACCAGUGUAAUUUGCUCACCACCUAUCCACAAUGUACAAUACAUAAUUCACCACAUCAAUGCUUGACCAUUAUAAAAUCAAUUCAGGCUCGGUAUAUAUGCAUAAUAUGACAUGCAACUUAUCCGACUACUGCUUAAAUGCGGUGCUAACUUAAUUCGGCCUAUUACCCGAUUAAAUUACUAACGCGUCCAAUUUAAUCUCAAAUUAAUUUUUUUCAGUUUCUAUACCUCAAUUGCACCCAAAUUGACUUAAUGUUCCUCAGUGUGGUGCAAAUUAUCAGUCCCGGUAGCAUAUUAUGAAAAUACCCCUAAUGGGUAAAAAUUCGUAUUUUUGCUUCGAAAAUUCUCAUUAUUUUUCUAGACUCAUAAUUCAUCAUUAUUUAUCAUAAUUCCUCAAAUAAACAUCAAGAUCAUCAGCCAAUAUUUCCCUAGAAAAUUCAGCCAAUAAUGGUAAUGGAGGAAAAUAAAUUCUUUUCUUGUUGUUUUGUUCCUAAAUAUGCUAAACUAACUUAAAACACUAACAUAACUUAAAAUCAAAUUAAUCUAACAAGUUUCUCUCUCCUAACCCAUUUUUUCAAAAUUGAAUUCAUCCUCAAAUCACAUGAUUCAACCAUGGAAAAUGAUGGGAAAUGCAUGGAAAUGAUAAAUCUUAAGCUAAACUUGAAAAAUCAUACCUUUAAACACUUAAUUCCUUGAAAAAUCACACUUUUUCUUUGAAUUUUCUCACUCUAGGGUUUGUUCUUAUUUCUCUCUCUCUCCUGCUGGUUUUG